rnacentral:tRNA from 1 species
ACCCCAGUAGCUCAAUGGAUAGAGCAACGCUCUCCUAAAGCGUAGGUUGUGCGUUCGACUCGCACCUGGGGUA